rnacentral:sRNA from 1 species
AGUUAACUUCCUCCUUCCAAACAACACGUAUUGUGGUUGUCUUUUAUUUAUUGGCGUAGAGCUUAUCAGAAUCAAAAUGAAGAAUUCUACACUUGCCUUUGUUCUUAUGGUCUCUUUGGUAUCGGUUGCAUCAAGUCAUACCUCUGGAGGUGUAUACCGGUAUGGCAGCCGUUAUGGCGGUGGUUUUGGUGGUUAUUAUUUUGGGAGAUACGGCGGAAUAUAUGGCGGGCGUUAUACCAGACCGAGUGCUAAUGGUUUUGGCGGUUUGGGUUUCAGUGGUUUAGCUGGUUUGGGCGGUUUGGGCGGUUUUGGCGGCGGCAUAAGCGAAUAAUUUGGCGGCAUAUAUGGUGGCUAAGACCGCGGAUUUUCAUUGUGGUUGUGUCGGAUCAACUGAAUUAACAACGUUCUUAACAGUCCAAUGUACCAAGGAGAUUGCUUCAAAAUGUUGAUUGAAAUUGUUUUUUGAUACUCUUUCAACGUAUGAAAAAAUGGAAUAUCAUGCACAAUUAAUUUAUUGGCAGUUUGAAAAGUUUUUGCCUUCCUGGUUACAUGUCUUCAUAUAUGUAUCAUUUAAAGAACAUGAUGUUAACAACAUUAUAUACGUACUUUGAACACUAUAGACUUAAGCAAUAUAUGAGCUGAAUUUAUUAGAAUUUUAUUUUGCUGCAAAAACCUGCUAGGAUGAUAAGUCUGCCUGUAACUUAAACUUUAAUGACAAAUAAGAUUUGGAAAAAAGCAUCAAUUUUUGUUAGGAGAAAGAUUUCACUGAUAAGGAAUAUAUAGCAGAUCAAUAUUUGUACAGGAUGACAAAAAUUCAAUUUUGCUCCGAUUAAGGCUUCUUAAUGGUUUUUCCCACAAGUUUUAGUAUAAAAUAAAAUUUUCUUUACAAAAAAAUUCAACAUGAAAAUUGCAGCUCAUAUUGCUUUAAGCUUUCUAUAUAUUGUAUAUAAAAAUAAAGUGCUUUGUUAUUUUC